UUAAAACUCAAAGGACUUGGCGGUGCUUUAUACCCCCUAGAGGAGCCUGUUCUGUAAUCGAUAAACCCCGAUCAACCUCACCAAUCUUUGCUAAUUCAGCCUUUAUACCGCCAUCUUCAGCAAACCCUAAAAAGGAAAAAAAGUAAGCACAAUAAUCCAAAGCAUAAAAAAGUUAGGUCAAGGUGCAGCCAAUAGAUUGGGAUGAAAUGGGCUACAUUCUUUUUAAAAAAGCAUACGGAUAUUUUUAUGAAACUAAAAAUUGAAGGAGGAUUUAGCAGUAAAUUAAGAGUAGAGUGCUUAAUUGAAGUUGGCAAUGAAGCCAUGCACAA
rnacentral:rRNA from 1 species